rnacentral:rRNA from 1 species
GGCUCAUUAUAUAAGUUAUCGUUUAUUUGAUAGCACCUUACUACUUGGGUAACCGUGGUAAUUCUAGAGCUAAUACAUGCUGAAAAUCCCGACUUCGGAAGGGAUGUGUUUAUUAGAUUCAAAGCCAACGCCCCCCCGGGCUCACUGGUGAUUCAUGAUAACCGCUCGAAUCGCACGGCCUUGCGCCGGCGAUGGUUCAUUCAAAUUUCUUCCCUAUCAACUUUCGAUGUUUGGGUAGUGGCCAAACAUGGUUGCAACGGGUAACGGAGGGUUAGGGCUCGACCCCGGAGAAGGAGCCUGAGAGACGGCUACUACAUCCAAGGAAGGCAGCAGGCGCGCAAAUUACCCAAUCCCGACACGGGGAGGUAGUGACAAUAAAUACCGAUAUAGGGCUCUUUUGGGUCUUAUAAUUGGAAUGAGUACAAUUUAAAUCCCUUAACGAGGAACAAUUGGAGGGCAAGUCUGGUGCCAGCAGCCGCGGUAAUUCCAGCUCCAAUAGCGUAUAUUAAAGUUGUUGUGGUUAAAAAGCCCGUAGUUGAACCUUGGGCCUGGCUGGCCGGUCCGCCUCACCGCGUGCACUGGUCCGGCCGGGCCUUUCCCCCCGCGGAACCCCAUGCCCUUCGCUGGGCGUGGCGGGGAAACGGGACGUUUACUUUGAAAAAAUUAGAGUGCUCCAGGCAGGCCUAUGCUCGAAUACAUUAGCAUGGAAUAAUGAAAUAGGACGCGCGGUUCUAUUUUGUUGGUUUCUAGGACCGCCGUAAUGAUUGAUAGGGACAGUCGGGGGCGUCAGUAUUCAACCGUCAGAGGUGAAAUUCUUGGACCGGUUGAAGACUAACUACUGCGAAAGCAUUCGCCAAGGAUGUUUUCAUUAAUCAGGGACGAAAGCUAGGGGAUCGAAGACGAUCAGAUACCGUCGUAGUCUUAGCCAUAAACUAUGCCGACUAGGGAUCGGGCGAUGUUAUUCUUUGACUCGCUCGGCACCUUACGAGAAAUCAAAGUGCUUGGGCUCCAGGGGGAG